CAAUAGCGUAUAUUAAAGUUGUUGCGGUUAAAAAGCUCGUAGUUGGAUUUCUGCUGAGAACGACCGGUCCGCCCUCUGGGUGUGUAUCUGGCUCUUUCUUGGCAUCUUCUUGGUGAACGUUGCUGCACUUGACUGUGUGGAGCGCUACCCAGGACUUUUACUUUGAGGAAAUUAGAGUGUUUCAAGCAGGCAUACGCCUUGAAUACAUUAGCAUGGAAUAAUAAGAUAGGACCUCGGUUCUAUUUUGUUGGUUUCUAGAGCUGAGGUAAUGAUUAAUAGGGAUAGUUGGGGGCAUUCGUACUUAACUGUCAGAGGUGAAAUUCUCGGAUUUGUUAAAGACUAACUUAUGCGAAAGCAUUUGCCAAGGAUGUUUNCAUUAA
rnacentral:rRNA from 1 species